GUGCUUAACACAUGCAAGUCGAACGGAAAGGCCCUUUCGGGGGUACUCGAGUGGCGAACGGGUGAGUAACACGUGGGUGAUCUGCCCUGCACUCUGGGAUAAGCCUGGGAAACUGGGUCUAAUACCGGAUAGGACCAUGGGAUGCAUGUUCUGUGGUGGAAAGCUUUUGCGGUGUGGGAUGGGCCCGCGGCCUAUCAGCUUGUUGGUGGGGUGAUGGCCUACCAAGGCGACGACGGGUAGCCGGCCUGAGAGGGUGUCCGGCCACACUGGGACUGAGAUACGGCCCAGACUCCUACGGGAGGCAGCAGUGGGGAAUAUUGCACAAUGGGCGCAAGCCUGAUGCAGCGACGCCGCGUGGGGGAUGACGGCCUUCGGGUUGUAAACCUCUUUCAGUAUCGGCGAAGCUCCGUGGUUUUCUGCGGGGUGACGGUAGGUACAGAAGAAGCACCGGCCAACUACGUGCCAGCAGCCGCGGUAAUACGUAGGGUGCGAGCGUUGUCCGGAAUUACUGGGCGUAAAGAGCUCGUAGGUGGUUUGUCGCGUUGUUCGUGAAAUC
rnacentral:rRNA from 1 species